CGCUGGCCCCGCCCCUCAGAAGAAAGGGGCGCUGGCGGGGGAUGUGUUUGUGUUUACCCGCGUGUGGCAAGGCUUGUUUCGGACCAGAGACCCCGUGUUUGGAUAGCAGGGCUCCCACUGAGCCGCCCGACGGCGGGCAGCGGCCUGUGGCCACUGUUUAG
rnacentral:lncRNA from 1 species